CCAGACUCCUACGGGAGGCAGCAGUGGGGGAUAUUGCACAAUGGGGGGAACCCUGAUGCAGCGACGCCGCGUGAGCGAAGAAGUACCUCGGUAUGUAAAGCUCUAUCAGCAGGGAAGAAAAUGACGGUACCUGACUAAGAAGCCCCGGCUAAAUACGUGCCAGCAGCCGCGGUAAUACGUAUGGGGCAAGCGUUAUCCGGAUUUACUGGGUGUAAAGGGAGCGUAGGCGGGGAUGCAAGUUGGGUGUUAAAUCUACCGGCUCAACUGGUAGUCGCACUCAAAACUGCAGCUCUUGAGUGAAGUAGAGGCAGGCGGAAUUCCUAGUGUAGCGGUGAAAUGCGUAGAUAUUAGGAGGAACACCAGUGGCGAAGGCGGCUUACUGGACUGUAACUGACGUUGAGGCUCGAAAGCGUGGGGAGCAAACAGGAUUAGAUACCCGCGUAC
rnacentral:rRNA from 1 species